rnacentral:rRNA from 1 species
UACGUAGGGUGCAAGCGUUGUCCGGAAUUAUUGGGCGUAAAGAGCUCGUAGGCGGUCUGUCGCGUCGGCUGUGAAAACCCGGAGCUCAACUCCGGGCCUGCAGUCGAUACGGGCAGACUGGAGUUCGGCAGGGGAGACUGGAAUUCCUGGUGUAGCGGUGAAAUGCGCAGAUAUCAGGAGGAACACCGAUGGCGAAGGCAGGUCUCUGGGCCACUACUGACGCUGAGGAGCGAAAGCGUGGGGAGCGAACAGG